rnacentral:rRNA from 1 species
GACGAACGCUGGCGGCGUGCUUAACACAUGCAAGUCGAACGAUGAAGCUGGAGCUUGCUCUAGCGGAUUAGUGGCGAACGGGUGAGUAACACGUGAGCAAUCUGCCCUUGACUCUGGGAUAACUGCGGGAAACUGUAGCUAAUACCGGAUACUUUCACCGGGGGGCAUCCUCUGGUGAUGAAAGAAUUUCGGUCAAGGAUGAGCUCGCGGCCUAUCAGCUUGUUGGUGAGGUAACGGCCCACCAAGGCGUCGGCGGGUAGCCGGCCUGAGAGGGUGACCGGCCACACUGGGACUGAGACACGGCCCAGACUCCUACGGGAGGCAGCAGUGGGGAAUAUUGCACAAUGGGCGGAAGCCUGAUGCAGCAACGCCGCGUGAGGGAUGACGGCCUUCGGGUUGUAAACCUCUUUUAGCAGGGAAGAAGCGAGAGUGACGGUACCUGCAGAAAAAGCACCGGCUAACUACGUGCCAGCAGCCGCCGUAA